UACGUAGGGGGCAAGCGUUGUCCGGAAUCAUUGGGCGUAAAGAGCGUGUAGGCGGCCUGGUAGGUCAGCUGUGAAAACUCGAGGCUCAACCUCGAGACGCCGGUUGAAACCAUCAGGCUAGAGUCCGGAAGAGGAGAGUGGAAUUCCCGGUGUAGCGGUGAAAUGCGCAGAUAUCGGGAAGAACACCCGUGGCUAAGGCGGCUCUCUAGUACGGUACUGACGCUGAGACGCGAAAGCGUGGGGAGCGAACAGG
rnacentral:rRNA from 1 species